UCCCUGGUGGUCUAGUGGUUAGGACUCUACGCUUCCACUGUAGAGGGCAGGGGUUCGAUCCCCGGUGGGGAA
rnacentral:tRNA from 1 species